AAAAAAAAAAAAAAAAACUAAUAAGGCCAGAAUUAUCAAUCAAAACCUCACUACGCAAAGCAGCUUUUACAUGUACACCAAAAAUUGCUGAAAGAAAAAGGAAAAAAAUGAUAAGGAUGAUACAGAAAACAUGAUUAACUAGUGAGGAGAGUCUCAACAGCUUCAAAGAACAGCUGUUCCAUGUCUGGGUUUGGAGUCUUGAUUGCACACUUAACCCCUGAUGUUCCAACAGCUGUGGUGAGUUCAAUCAAAAAGGGAGUUCCACGAGGGAUUUUAGUGGAGAAGUAGAACACAUAUUGGUUGCCAUUCUUCGGCUUUAAUAAAGAACAUGUUCGAUGCAGCCAAAUGGUCUAAAGUAGCUUCUACACUAUUAACUACAAUGCCUGGAAAGUCCUUCGAGACUUCAUUUGAAUCAGGAAGAGACCUCCAUUUUUUUUUCCUCCUUUUACCUCUAGGAAGCUCCCACGUUCCAUCCUCCCAUCCUCAGCAAAGAAUACACGCAAUGAAAUUUUGCAAUUGAAGUACAAUACUGGCUGUUGAUUAUUUUCAUAGCAACUUGCAAAAGUGAGUUUGGAGGACCAGCAGACAUGUUCUCGAACAAUACCAUAGGCAGCAGAGUUGCUGCUGACGUCCCAGGUUGCAAUUGUGGAACCUGCAAGGGUCCAGCAGCAGCAAGACCAAAUAUGUUCUUGUUAAACUGAAUCAUGAAUCCAUCAAGGGGAAUCUGUGAGUUGUUCUCAAACAAUAAGCUAUAAAAGAUUUGACCAUCUCUUCGAAUUAGCUGCGCACUGAUUUGUAAACCAUGACCAGCUGAUGCUGGUAGUAGAACUGGCAAAGGAGGGCCAGGAGUAGAUGUCUGGUCAACAGGGAUAAUAGCACUAUUAUCCAAGCUUAUCAAGUCACCUAGUAAAUCUGGCACAGGAGCUGCAGGAGCAGGUUGCUUUGCUCCAGCAUGUGGAACAUUACUUGAACUGGCUGGUGGUGAUGCACUACCACCAGCAGGAUGAGCAGGAGAUUCCGAAUACCUGUUUCACUCCCAUCAGGAUAGUCAUCAUCUUCAGUUUUCUGUGCUGUUGUCUUCGUACGGGUUACAAAUGGCUCUGGGGGUUUGUGAUACACAGAGGACAAUGUAGCAAUGUUGGCAAGAAGCCCAUCAAGAACAGAUGGAUCAAGUUGGUUUGAAUCAUCACUAAUCACAGGUUUCUCAGCCAGCACAACAUCCUUUGCAGCCUCAGGAUCAGUAGAUAACAGUCGCCAAUAUAUAUAUGCAUGAUCUCAUAAAUCAGGAUAGUCUGUUUCCACAGUUGCAUUAUUCAAAACAACCUUAAGGAAAAGUAGAAAAACUUGAAUCAUCUGCUGAGGGCCUUCAGUUGGCUUUUUAAGAAAGAGUUUCACAGUUGCAGCCAACAAUUGCAGUUGGACUUGUGCAGGCUCCUCAGAGAAACUCUCCAAGAAGCUUUCCAAGAGCUCAUCAGCAUUGUCAAUUCUUUCUGCAUAUUCUCAAAUUAUCCAGCUCAUCGAAGCCUUAGCUUCUGGCUCAUCUAAAGUGUCUAAGCUCUCACAGAGUGUUGCAAUGAUUGAUUCACAACUGCAAAGGAAAAGGAGAUACAUAAUUAAGUUUAGAUGGAAAUCAGAAUUUCACAUUAAUAUUCACUGAGAGCACAAAAGAUAUAGCUUAUGUGUUAGGGUAUCUUCUAAAGAUGUCUUUGAUAACUAUAAUAGCCUCUUGAACAUAAUUUACUUUAAUUUUAAUCAGCUCUAGCAAGACACUUAUGCAACGCUCAGCAGCUCUCUCCAACUUGAUGGCACAGCGACCAAUGACACGAACAGCCCUUCUGACAAAAUCCACAUCUACUUCUGUGGCAUACUCUUUGAACUCCAACAGAACUUGGUCUAUAUUUCGGUCUGAAGCAAGCUUUAUCAUGAUUUCUAGCUUCUCCAUCUUCACAUAAAUGGCAUCAUUGUACUUGCAGAAAAAAACCUGAAAAUAGAAGAAAAAGAUUUUGGAGCAGCAUCUCCUUGAUAACAACAUGGCCAAAAAGCAUGAGUGGGAAUUUCCAUGUGUGAAUUUGUACCAUUCAUCAAGUAGAGAGGACUAUGUCUUUUUACCUUAAUUU
rnacentral:misc_RNA from 1 species